CAGUGAUAAUUCUAAGAGAGCACUAUGUUUGUGGGAACCCUGGAGACAUGUUUCUGUCAGAGUCUAAACUGGAGCAUUCUGGGCAAGUGCUGAUACCUGUGGAUGAGCAGAGAAGCCCAUUUCUAGUUUAUCUCCUCCUCCCAGUCUUCUGGACGCUUACCGUCAGCUCCAGGGCUUCAUUGAGGAGCCCAUUGCGCUUGCUGUGCAGCCACAGCACAACAGAAAGAGAAGACCAUGAAGAAGUUCAGUCGUCUGGGACUGGAAAAUAGCCCUGUGGACUUAGAGUACUUGGGCUCUACAGAUCCAGAACCAGUUCCACGCUAUUGCUUCAAGCAGAAGAGUCCCUGAGAUCCAUAGUUGCAGUCUGAAGUGGAGGAUUCUCUUCCUGCCUCUGGGUACAGUGACGUGUAACUUGAACCUGGACCCUGAUCGAUAGGUUCUGGGAAAUGGUGGCAAUUUUCAUUUCUUGUUAUCCCCUCCCAGCUAUCCUGCGUGGGUUGGUUCGUCUGCUAAGAGGCCAUGGACUGUCAAGAGGAUCAUAGAGGCUACGUUGUGUUCCCUGUUUCCCAAGAACUCCCCACCCACCAGUGUCUCCUUGCAGCCCAAUUAAACUCUUUCCCCUGGUCUUUAAAUGUGGGACAGAGGCUAGAACUUGAGUUGGAAGGUCUUCCAGUAAGUCCAAGGUCUUCCAGCUACUCCUCUCGAUGGAGAGGAUGAAGAGGAAGAUACGAGACAGAAAGGCCUGCAAGUCAACCCUGUCACCCUCCCUGUCUCUGAGCAAAAUACAUUCAUUCAUUCAUUCCAUGACGAGGAUGAAUCUGGCCAGCAACCCUGCUGCAGCACCCCCCUGCCACAAGUGGCCAGAUGUUUAUAGUCAAGUGAGUUCCUCCCUGUUCAUGACUUGGCUGCUGUCACUUUGGGAGAAGGCUGGGCGUUGAGAGCUGCGUAUGGAAAUCCAAUUGUGUCAGGCUCAUUACAGCCUUAUGUAAUCUGAUUGCCACUUAGAGGCGGACCUUUCUCAUAUGUGGGGUCUGUCUUUAUUACUUUCCAGAGAUGAAAGUUUCUCCUGUUCCCCUCUGAGACACCUCUUUUAAUCUUAUCUCACUCUGGAUUCUAUUAAGGUAGAAGAUUGUCACAUCAAACACAGCGUAUCGUUUAAUCAUUCCCAAACGGGAAACAGAGGUUUGAGGAAGGCUGGCAGAACCUGCCAGUGUGUGAAACCUGAUGGUGUGCUCUGCUUGGUUCUGUGCUCCUGAGGGUCUGGGCCUGGGUCUUAUGCACAUUCUUUUAUUGCCAGCAUCCAGUGCAUGCUCUGCCUUGAACAAGAAUUCAAGCAAAGACUGUGGUAGGCAAAGAAGGAAAGCCAAGCAUGCUGAGCUGGGCAUCUAUGCGUGUAAAGCCCUUGUAAUGGGCUCAGUCCUUGUGCGGACUGGUCAGCUUCCGCUCUCCUCCACAACCAUAAGGACACUAUAAAAGACAAGAGACUGGAGAGCUCAUCUAGGCUGUUUCAAAGGCCGAACAAUUGAUAAUGAAUUGAUUUAAAAUAAGGGGUGCAUGAAAGGGAGCCACUCAGCCAGAGUGAGGGAAUGGAUUAGAAAGGGUUCAGCUCAUGUCUUCCAACUAGGAAGUCAGACACAGCUUUCACAGCAUCUUUCUCCUUCCUUCCUCGAGUUCACCUCCUUUAAACUUGAAGGGCAAAGCCCAGGAACCUGCAUCUUCAACAGGCGUUAAGUGGAGCUUUGGGGUUGGAGGAGAGUUCUGGUACAACACUGUCAGCCUGGGACAUGGCCUGCCACCAUUACUGAUCAAGAUCAUUUGGGGACCCCUGUGGAGCCUGGCACAACUGGGACUUUCUAGCUGGCAGGGAUGGCCUGGACAUGAGUCUUUGCAUCUCUUGCCCUGAAAGAGGCAGAAGGAAGACAAGGGAGAAAAGGAAACACAGGCAGUUGUACACUUAGACAUUCAUCAGAGAGACAGUAAGAUUUAUGUAGAUGGAAACCCAUACAUGAGAAUGCUUGAGAAUGCUUAUUUGUAAUAGCUGGAAACCAUUUCUAUCCCAGAAGCUCUUCAGCAGGCAAACAUCCAACAGAACAUGGCUGAGUGAGAAAAGUGAAUGGGCUUUUACAUUUUUUUUUUUGAGACAGAAUCUUAAUUAGUUACCUAGGCUGGCCUUUGGAUGAUGCUGUAGCCCAGGCUGACCUGGAACUUAGGAUUCUCCGGUUUCAGCCUCCUGAGCAUCUGGGAUCACAGACCUGCAUCACUAGGCCUGGUAUAAGAAACUAGUGAUACAAUUUGAAUGGGUCUCUGGGGAUUA